GCUCCUUUAGUUUAACAAAAAUAAGGGCUUUUCAAGCCCUAGAUCCAAGUGAAAAUCCCGGAAGAAGCA
rnacentral:tRNA from 1 species